GCAGGUGGUUUGUUAAGUCAGAUGUGAAAGCCCGGGGCUCAACCUCGGAAUUCGCAUUUGAAACUGGCAAACUAGAGUACUGUAGAGGGGGGUAGAAUUUCAGGUGUAGCGGUGAAAUGCGUAGAGAUCUGAAGGAAUACCGGUGGCGAAGGCGGCCCCCUGGACAGAUACUGACACUCAGAUGCCGAAAGCGUGGGGAGCAAACAGGAUUAGAUACCCUGGUAG
rnacentral:rRNA from 1 species